AUGAUUAGAGGUGUAAUCUAGCUUGUUGAUUUCUUAUCUGAGGGUAUCCUGCUAUUGACACACCUGUUAAAUUAUGUAACAGAACGUGGCAACAACAGUAAUUCAUGAGUAUACAUAAUUUACACAGAGCAGGUAGGUCUAGACAGAGCAGGUAGUUCUAGACAGAGCAGGUAGGUCUAGACAGAGCAGGUAGUUCUAGACAGAGCAGGUAGUUCUAGACAGAGCAGGUAGGUCUAGACAGAGCAGGUAGGUCUAGACAGAGCAGGUGAGUCUAGACAGAGCAGGUGAGUCUAGACAGAGCAGGUGAGUCUAGACAGAGCAGGUAGUUCUAGACAGAGCAGGUAGGUCUAGACAGAGCAGGUAGUUCUAGACAGAGCAGGUAGGUCUAGACAGAGCAGGUAGUUCUAGACAGAGCAGGUAGUUCUAGACAGAGCAGGUAGGUCUAGACAGAGCAGGUAGUUCUAGACAGAGCAGG